AGGGUAAUCGCUCAGUGGUAGAGCACGUGCUUAGCAUGCGUGAGGUCCUGGGUUCAAUCCCUGGUACCGCUG
rnacentral:tRNA from 1 species